CAAGUUCAGUGCCAGGUUCACCAAAACAGAUGGUGAAAGUCCUAAUUUGUCAAGGACAGAUGUAAGAGGAACAUGGGGAUUCUGUACAUUAAGCUCAAAAUCUAGAGUUGUCAGUAUCAUUUUGCUCAGCCUCAAUCAUCCGUACUCUAUAUUGCUCAAACCAGUCAACAGGAAGCAUAAUGGAGAAGAAAGAACC